ACACUUGUCAGCUAUAAAAGCAACACAGUGGCAAUGAAUUUCACACGUUUUUUCCAUUCACCAAGUGCCAACUCAUAAACAAAGAGACACACUCUCUCUCUUGGCAGUUACAAAUCAAAACAAAAAAGCUUCAACAUUCAUCAAUGGCGUAAACCUAACCUUUUCCAGAAACAGAAACUACACAAAUUCAAGCUAUUUUUCAUGGAUUCUCAGUGAUUCUUUGAAGAAUCAUCAUCAUUGAAUCAAUAUCUUCGCAAUUCAAGGUGCGAAUUCGCCAAAGGCAAACUCCAGCACCGAUCACGAAGAUACAGUGAGGAAGACGAAGAAGAAAGAAAGACAGUGAAGGUUUAAACCGGCGAAGAAGACGAUAAAGCAAGAAAUCAGCAAGAACACCGGUUUAUUUCCGGAUUCAAAGCCAAAUCACAUAGCAUCAGAGAUUGAAGUUUUCCAAAGAGUUUCUCCAUUAAAGGUUUCAACCAAAACCUUAGGUAAAACUCGUAAUCUUUUUUCAAAAGUGUUAAUCAUAGUUUAAACUUGUAAAAAUCACGCAAGCAAUAGAUCCAAAAUUUCCAGAAUUCAAAGCCAAAACCGUAACCGUAAACACAAAACCUAGAUCCAUAAGGAUCUAAGUUUUGAAAGCAAGAACAAACAUCAAAGAGGUGCUAAACAACGAAAUGAUGUAGAUCUUCAAGGAUCUAAACGUUUUCUUUCAAAAAAUCAAAAUCAAAUUCAAAGCCGUACGACAAAUUUCCAGAUCUACAUCGUUUCGAACUGAAUUUGAAAAAACAACUGCUGGAUUCGUGUUUAGGGUUAAAGGACGAAUUGAUUGAUGAAGAAAUUUUGAAAUUCUGGAAAUUUUAGGUCACCGGAGUUCAUGAACUCGCCGGAGAAGAUGAAGUUUCCGGCGGACCUUCAAGGUCUCCGCCGUAGCUUCAUCCUCGCCGGCGGCGAGGUUAGUGAGAGGUGAGAGAAGAGAGAAGAACUUAGAGAGAGAAAGGGGAGUGAAAAAUGAAGAAAACCGGAACCCCUUCCCUUAUAUAGCCAGUGAACCGGACCGGUUUAUUUCCGGUCCAGUCCCCCUUGUUCCUGGCCGUUUGAUCUAGGGUUUCAGAAUCCUAGAUCAAUCGUGUGGCUCCUGUACAAUCUGUCUUUUUGAGUGUGGGCUUUGGGUUUGGGCUUAGUCUGCUUUCACGUUUUUUGCUUUUUUUGCUACUUGCACCAUACUUGCCUGCUGUUUGCACCCUUUGUUCAUGCUAAUUUUCAUCAAUAAAUUCCAAGAAAUUUGCCAUGUCAUUUUACUAUUUUUCUUGAUAAUUUUCAGUGGUAUUUUGCUUGGAAAAGUUGGUAAAAAUUUUAGUGUUGUUUUGUCAAGGGUUUUUUACUAUUUUAAGUCACUUUUCUCGCAUUUUUACCCGUUACUUCAUGUGCAUAAUGUUCGUGUUCGUCAUGUUUGAUUUGCAUACUAUUCCAUAUGAAUUUUGCUACUGUUUGCUAUGCAUAUGUCACUGUUUUGAUGUGUUGAAUUUUGUUCUUACAUCAUGUGCAUUAUUCAUUACAUGUUUCCGGCUUAUUUUCAUCGUCACUUUACUGUUUUAUGCCAUACUUUCUUCCAUCGCUUCAUGCCAUAUUCUUUCCUUUUUUACCAUUUUCUACUAACAUUUCCUUUCAUAUUGAUCACUUCAUAGCACUUCACCAUCUUCACUAUUGUCUCCAUUAGUUUGGUUUUCUUUUUUUAAAAUUGUAAUUCAUUCGGUGAUGUAAUAUUUUACCAUUGGUUUGUAGCUUGGCAAAGGGGCCAUAGAAUGUAUUUAGGGAUGUUUGUAAUAUGGACUAUGGACACUAUGACGCACCGGCACGCACACACUCACCUUAGAUGUAUGCAUAGGAUUGUAUGGUUAGAUAAGCGCUUAGGUUUAAACACUUAGAUAAAAAUCAACUUUUUUCCAAAAAACAUGCAAAUAACUUCACUUGAAAACCUUUUUUUUUUGAAAAUCAAAUGGAGUCAAAACUCCUUAUUUCCCCCUUUAUUUUCUUAAGUAAAAUUUUCAAUAAAUCUUAAUCCUCCUUAGACUUUAUUUUUGCAAAAUGACUAAUCCCACCUCACACUUUCCAAAUCUUAUGCUCUUGAGGCCUCUCAUCUCCUUUCUUCAAAAUCUCUUUUCAAACUUAAAAUCAACCAACAAAAACAAAACCUUUUUUGAGAAUGAACUACGAACGGUUUUGAUCCCUUAAAAGGGUACGUAGGCAAUGAGUCAAAACUCAUCCAAGCCGAAAUAAAAAUCAAAUUCUACUUCUUCUCACCCCCAUUCUUCACUAAUCAUACCUCCUCUUUUUACAAAUAAGCAAUAAAAUUAAAGCGUAGAAAUAAACUUAGGAGAGCGGUUCUUAUGGAAUACCAUAAUCGCUCCGGGUGCCUAACACCUUCCCGUAGCGAAAACGACCCCCGAAUCUAGAACUUUUUAAGGGUUUUUCUCCUUUUACCCUUCCCAAGAAAAAAGAGAGAUAUCAACGGUCAAAAGGUUCAAGUCCAAUUAAUGGCUUGGCACCCAAAAACCAUGAUAACACCCACUAAGGCCUCUAAGACAGUUUCUGAAAAUACUGUCUUGGAAACCCAAACAGAAACCCAAACCAUCCCUGAGCAAACUGUUCAGGAGCAAACUGCUUCUGAACAAGUUGCUCCUGACCAAACAACUUCUGACCAACAUAUACCUUCUGACCAAACAACAGAACAACAACAACAACCAGAUUCACCCACUAUAAUAGACUUAACCUCUGACCAACCUUCCACAUCAAAUACAACUCAAACUGAACCUUCACCCAUCCCUGACCAUAUCCUGGAGUCUGAGUAUAUAGAGGAACAACUGAUCAGACUUAGUGAUGAGAUUCAGGCACUGAUUCUUCGCAGAACAGUUCCUGUACCUCCUAUUCACUAUUAUGAUCAGUGGAUGGAUCUACAGAAGAGCUUUGAUGAGCUGCUGGAUCAGCUUAGAACUAAAUGUGUGUCAUCUCACUCUGCUAUGCUGAAGAAGCUUUUGGAUGAUAUGCAUGAAGCAGCUAAGGAGAAAGAGCUGAAUUUUGUGCCUCUGCUGGACAUCACUCCUUUCUAUCCAGAAGAAGAGUACAUCACUAGGGCUGCUAGAAUUCAGGCUGGAUAUAAAAGAAGAAUGAGGGAAAAGGAUGAGCUACUUCAGAAGAAGGAUGAUCAGAUCAAGUAUCUCUUAGAAUAGUUGUAUAAGCAAGCCCAACCUUAGUUGCACAUCCAACUCUAGCUUGUUUUUUACUUUUGUUCUUAGUAGCUGUGUCUUUGUAUCUUAAUCUUUCUUUAUAUAUAUUAUCAUUGUUUCUGGAUCUUGUGCUUUUUCACCUUCAAUAUGUUUUACAAGCUUUAACUCUGAUGAUAUUUACUGUUUUUAAUGCUGCUUGCUCUGAUACUCUUUCUUUUGUUUCUAUUCUUUUUGUUGAUGACAAAAGGGGGAGUAAAUGUAUAGUAUUUUUUAAGGCACUGAGCCCUACUACAACCACUUCUAAAUUUCUUUUAAAUACUUCUGAUUUGAUUUUAUGAGUAUUUUAUUGAAAUUUAAUUAAUAAGAAUAGAACUUAGGGGGAGCUUACAAACCUCUAUCCCAGUGGUCAACUUAUUAAUUAGAUCAACAACAAUUGAACAUUUUAAAUACUAUUGUUUGUCAUCAUCAAAAAGGGGGAGAUUGUUGGAACAAAAUGUGUUUCACAAUGAACCUUAUUAAGUUUUGAUGAUAACAAGGUAUUAAAAAUUGUCAAUUGGUUAUUACUAAUAAUUGUUCAAGUGUACAGGACCAAAGGCUACUCAAGUUAUUUCAAUAGGUCUUGGAAGAACAAUGGAAAGAAAAAGAAAUUCUGAGCAUCUGAAGAAAACUGCUCCUGAAGCUAAACUGCUCCUGAAGAGAUGACGUCAUCAGAAGCAGAAAGUCAUCAGAAGCAAAAGUUUUCAUCAGAAGCAAUAUCUUCACCAGAAGCUACAUUUGAUCCUUUAAUCAAACGGAAGAUUCAAAGUAGCUGAUUCUCAAUUCAGUCUUAUCAACGAAGAACGAAGAAUUGAAAGGGAGGUAUCAACGGAUAUAUGGAUAGCACUGAGCACUUGUCUCUCAUUAAUAGAGUUGACAAAGUACAAGUGUACAACCACUACCUCCACUACUCUGUUUUCUGUCUACGCUACAAGACAAAACAACAGCCAUGCCUGCAGAAUUUGUUCACUCAAGAUGGGAAUGAAUUUGAAGCUUAUUCUUCAAAGGACUACACCCAAAUCAGGCAAAGGAUCACUGGUGGAUAAUCAAAGGAUUUCAAACGACUCUUUAGACGUGCUGAUUAUCUCAACGUCUCUUUCACGCCUCUAUAUAAAGGAGUGAAGACUUGAAGAUAAAAGAUAGAGAUAUAUAAGUUUAAAAGCGCCAAAACUCUGUCAAUUUGAUUCUACAAAGCACACUGAAUUUCUGCACUGAUUUGAUACAUCUUAGAAAUUCAAAGUCUAGAGUCUUUUCUGUAUUGUAUUGUGAACACCACUGAUUGUAUAUCAAGUGUUCAAUUCAAACUCAAUUCUCUGUAUUUUUGUUUGAUUAGAAGUCUCUCGCCUGCGUGCUUGAGCAUUAGAAGUCUCUUGCUUAGUGCUUGAGCAUUGGAAGACUCUUGCGUGUGUGCUUGAGCAUUUUUGUGAAGUCUCAUACUUAGAAAGUAUUGAGCAGUUGUAAUCUUUGUGAUUAUAGUGAAAUCUCCUUGGAAGUGCAAGGGGGACUGGACUACUUCCGUGUUGUGGAAGGAACCAGGAUAACUGCUUGUGUCCUUGUCUUUCUUUUCUCUGCUCUGUUCUUUUCCGCUGCAAUCUGACUCUGAUCAUUUCAUCAGAAGCAAUCAAACUGCUUCUGAAGUUUUAUCAGAAGAAGUAUUUUUUAAGAGAAAAAGAAAACACAAUUCAACCCCCCCCCCCCCCCUUCUUGUGUUUUUCACCUUCAUUUUUGUCCUUUCUCUUGCCUCCAGUUUGUCAUGUACCUGAAACAGUUAUACAAAUCAAACACUGGACAACUGGAAUUGUUAUGUCAUGUCCUUCAUUUUUUACCAAAUCAAACGCACGCUAUAUAUUAAUUUUCAUAGUGAUCAUACUAUAUAUGCAUUAAUUGCAGGCCCAUUGUAUCCGCUUCUAGCUCCAUUAUUGGGUCAAUGAUCCUUAGUUAACUCACUGUUUAAGAAGCCAUUUGUUAGGAGAAGAAGCGCUUUCAAUCUUGACUGUACAAAAGCCACAUUUUAUUGAUAACAAGUUCUUGGUAUGCAUAAACUUAAGUUAUGUUGUUUUAUAGACUUAAAAUAUUAAUUAAUCCAAUUUUGCAGAAUAAACUUAAAAUAAGUUGUUUUAUAGAUACAUUUUGAGUUCUCUAUGCAAGGGAUGCAUUACUUCUUUCCCCUCUUAAAAAUCUGCACUAACUUAAGUUUUUUUGAAGUGUGUUUACACUACAACAUAAUUAAGAAUUAGUAACAGUUGGCCAAUUGUUAGGUAAAGCCCGUGUUACUAAAUAACUUCAGUAACACUUUAUGUAUUAUUAGUAACAUUCAGAAAAUGUUGCAUAUUUAUAUUUUGUAACACUUUUAAUAUCACCAGUAAUAUUAAAAGAAAUGUCGCAUAAUAAUUUUGAGAAUUUGUAAAAUUGUGGAUCUACCAAUUUGGACUUUGCUUAGACUUAUUAUGAUUUGCAACUCUAAAUAUGUCCUCGUACACAUUUGAAUUUGAUUUCUCAAAUAUGCUCUCAUACACAUUUGAAAUUUAAUUUCAUAAUGGAAAUGAACCGUGCAACACAAUUUAAAUUACAUACUAAAACAAUUACAACUUUUCUUCGAAUAAAGCGUGUAAAUGUAAGAAAAAUAAUGCGUAAUAAGCCUUCAUUAUGGAGGCAUACAAAAUAUAUAUAGAUUUUAAUCCUUUUUGUUAUGCUUUCUUUUUCGGACUAAGUAGUGCACAUUCAUAGCCCCACUAGUUUUCUGCAAUGCAAUAUCCUCAAGCAUGCCAACGAUUAGCCCCCUUAGCUUUCAUCACCACAACCACAAGUUAAACAAAAGGUUUUUUUUUUUACCUUCGAAGAACCUGCAACAAAUUUGAAAACAUGAAAGGAAUAAAAUUAUAUGGAUAUAUCAAGUCCUCUGCUCAUAUUCGUUCCUUUCACCUCCAUGCAUGAACCAUAGAGUUCAGCUUACCAUGUUUUCCCUUGUUUGUGAAAACUAAGAAAAAGCUGGUGCAUGAAAAUCACUUUUCACCACUCAACUUCUCACCAUUCCCUUCACCGAGUUGGUUCUUCACCAGAUUUUUUUUUUUUUUUUGAAGAGGCGCGGCUCUUCACCAUAAUUAGUCACCUCUUUUCCUAGAAAACCAAAUCCUUCACCAUACCCUUCCAAAAUCCUUCGCCGAUCAUGCUCCUUCUAGAUUAACAGAAACCCAGAAACACCAUAACCUUCAUCUCUUAGCUUCUUUAACGCUCAGCUUCUUCAAAAACCUCACGUCUGAUUCUUCACCAUACCAUCUCAUUCGAUUGAGAACCUCGCCAUCUGAUUCAGCCUUCUGGCUCAGCUUCUUCUUCGAUGAGUGUGUGACUGAUUAUAAUGAAAUUUGUUCCUCUCAUCACUCAUCUUAACCGUUCAUCUCUCACCAUACCCUUUUACAAAUUUAACUUAAAGUUUGAAAUUGAUGUUUGUUUUUGCAGCAUUAAUGUAGAAGAAGGGAUGUGUCAAUUACCGAUCUUCUAAUUUUUCAUCUUGUGACAACAAAGGUAUAUGCGACCAUUGAUAAAUUAUGAUAUUUUUUCAAAACAGGGUAUACAAGUGAAUUGGUUUGCAGAUUUGUGGUUUUGUUUUGUAAAAUAGGGUAUAAAGUGUAAUGUGCCAAAAAAAAACUAGUUGGUGUCGGCUAGACCUGCUCUACAAAUUUCAUUAACUUUUAAAAUAUUGACUUUAACAUCUGUUAGACCGACUCUAAUAAAUAUCUUCGACGUUUAUAAUAUUACCUUUAGCGUUGGGCAAACCGACUCUACAGGAUUUUGUUGACAUUUAAAUAUUGACUCUAGCAUCGGUGGGCCGACUUUAUAAGAUUUAGUUGACUGUUAUGUCGUUGACUUUAGUGUUAGACUGGCCAACCUAGGGAAGAGUCGGUUUUAAACUCGAAUUAACCAAGGCUAUAUUAUCCUCGGAUGCCAGCUAGCUGACGCUGCCCAAAAGCUUCAAAUUUUAAAGCAUGCCCGACUUUGACGCCAGUCGAACGCUAAAUUAUAAUUAGCGGCCAUUUUUGCCCUUUUAGAGUGUGUUUACGGUUGUUUUUUCCUGUUUCUCACAAAUUCAAGUUAGUAAUCAAUACAAAUAGAAGUAGAAGAUCUAUUUUUGAAUCUCAUGGUAGAAUUUUUUUUUUCCCUUAAGAAUGAAAUAAAGGAUUUUCUUUUUCGAAUACAAAGAAUAUAUAAUUUCGAAUUCAGACAUAAGAACCAUCCUAAUUAAUUAGUUAAUGAAUUAAUGGAUAAAUUGGUUAAUGUUAUUAUCAAGAUGAUUUAGUUGCAUAUUGGCUUGGGAUCUGGGAGUGUGCUCCUUCUCGAGGUCUCAGGUUCAUUUAUCCCUAAUGCCAAUUUAGGUGGGCUAAUUUAGAUUCUUAAAAAAAAGAUGAUUUAGUUGCGAACAAAUGGUUGAGGUGCAUCUUAUAACAAAGAACUAGAGUCCGUACAUAUAGUCUUGAUCUCCCUAUUUCUUUACAAUUAUAAGCAAUGUGAGACUUCUUCAACAUGUAUAUUUUCAACCAAAACCAACACUAUUUGUGAUCAAAAUUGCCACAUAGUAUUUAACCAGUAGUGGAAUGCUAGCAACACUCUCUUCUGAGCACUCUCUCUAGCACUCACUCUUUUAUUGGGUGAAAUAAAUGUAGGACCUACACUUUAGAAAUGGAACCCACAUAAAGUGGUGAGACAUACAUUGAUUUCACCCAAUAAAAGAGUGAGUGCUAGAGAGAAUGCUCAAAAGAGUGUUGCUAGCAUUCCUCUUAACUAGUAUAUAAGCAAAAACUGAACUUAUUUGGUUGUUUCUAGAAGUAGGAAUAGGGCGAUCAACAUGAGUCUGCACCUUAGCCUACAUCAUACUCAGAUCAUGUUAGGUUUUUUUAAAACUCAAAUUGUUGUCACUUGGAUGAUUCAAACUUGAGACCUAGUGAGCAAGUGGUUACUCUCAAAAUUUGACAAUCGAUCUUUGUCAUAUAUCCAUGAAUCAUACGCAUAGUAGCAAAACAAAGAUUAAUUCAAAAAUAUUCGUGCAAAUCUAGUACCCACUCUCAAUAUAUGUAAACAAUGAAGGUACACACAAGUCACCAGCCAGGUCUAAACUGAUUUAAGGAAUAUUCUACAAUUUUCAUGAAAUAAAUGGAAUCUCACUUUUAUAAAGCAAUUUGGUUCAUAUUCAUGCUUUCAUUCAAGAGCAACCACAAAGUUUGACCUUUAAGGAAGCAUUUUAUCGAAUUAGCCUUAUCUCACGCAAGUGAGCUUAAUUUUUCACAAACCUCAAUAGUUUCAAAAGUAAUAUGGUAUUCUAAAAAAUUUAAACCAAGUUCACAAAAAUCAUCAGUCGGAAUUUAUAAAUGAUUGAAACAAUAAAUUUACUUUUUGUAUCUCUGUUUCCCAUUCUCUUCAGAGAUUUUGGACAAUACUUGAGUCAUAAAUCAUUUAUUUUACCUGUAAAACUAAGUUCAAAUUGUAUGAAGUUAAAUAGAAAAAACCAAUUUACGAGGAAAACAAUUUUGCUUAGAAAAGUUCUUCUUUGCUUAGCGAUUAGAAGAUUCUCUUAGCGGUUUUGUCUAAUGCCACUCUUUUCUAUGAAUUUUCUACUUCUUUUGUUUCUUCUUCCUCUCAUAUUUCCACAACAAUCCUCUCUUCUUCGUCUUCUAUAAUACUUUCCCAAAUGGACCUCUUCAGUGGUGAUGAAAUUUUUAUGCUAUAUUGGAGUGAAAUGGUUAUCGGGGUAGAGUAUAUAUGCUUAAUUCAUGCAUGUUAGUCAAGUGUAUGUCCAUUUGUCCAGCAUGAAAUUCAAGCUUUCAUGUUGGCCAUAGACAACUACAUAAACUGGUUUAGAGUAUCAUCUAGUACGAUUCAAGCAUCUACAUUCAUUUGCUUGCCCGUAGAAAACUGUCUCUAAUUAAAGAAUAAUCUUUCAAUGAUGAAUUUUUUUCAGGUUCAAUAGAGUGUUGUCUUUAUUAUUAUUUCCUUAAAUUUAUAGUAGCACAUAAUCACUUGGAACGACCAAUUCCAACUGGAGGUAGAUUUUUCACUUCCAUGGUUUAACCAUAUUUAAUUAUUACUUACUCAUUUCAAUUCCUUAUAAAUAAUUUUUUUGCUCUGUGGACCUCUAAUACCAAUUAGACUUCUAUUUCAUUAGCUUUUUAUUCUAUAACCUUUUUUUUUUAAGAAGUUCUAUCAACCUUUUUUAAUACCUCAAACAACUCACCUUGCACAAAAUAUUCAAAACCAUCUAAUUGUCAAAAUUCUAGUUUUAAUCUAAUUAUUUAAUUCAUUACAUAUCAACCUGUACAUCUAAAAGAAGGUAAACUAUUAUGCAAGUAGUUAUAAGUAAACUAAACUGAACCAUUUUUUUUACUAUGAAUAAGAACAAAUAAAUGGCUAACUAACAAUCAUUGAAACAAUAAUGAGACUGUAAACUCAAAAUUUUCUGACAAAAAGUUGCUAUCAUAUAUAUUUUACAUAAGAAAGCAAAUUGAAGUUUCAACCAAAGGCAGAAUUGUGCAGCACUAUCUGUUGAAGAAGCUCAAUCAACUAAUGGGGGAAAUCAGCAAUCAUAAGAACUUCCAUUGUAGAGCAUUACACACAUUUAUAUCUUUGCUUCCCUCACUCAAUAUAUGUUCCAUAAACUGUGUAUUAAGUAAGUAAUUCCUGAACAGAGAUACUAAAAUGAGAAAAUAAUAUGAUUAUAGGGACAUGCACAUGCAGGGAAGAGAGAAAAUUAGCACAAUCAAAUAACCGUGAAAUAAAGAUUCAAAAUUAAAGAAAACCACAAUCAAAUAAAAAUUACCUUUCAUGUACACAGAGCUCCGACACACGUCCCAAUUGAACAGUAAAAUAUCUUUCAUGUACGUACUCUACAGCUCUUUCUGAAGAAGCCAAGAAUGAGAAUGUAUAAAAAGAUUUUUGAAUUAAAAUAAACUGAAUUGAACAGUUGAAAUCCAAACAUAAGAAGGGGAAACAGAGAUCGUACCACUAAAAUAGAUUUUUGUGAUGGUGAUUGAGGCAGAUAAGGGUAAACGUCUCUGCGCUUCUUCAUUCUAAUAAAUCUUUAUUUUUGGAAUAUGAGCUAUCUUGUCCCAAUCCUCCCCUGUUCCCUCUUUGCAUCGUUCCUCUAAUGUUGGGCAACUCCAAAUUCUCAGAAACUCAAGAGAAGUGAGGUGUCGAAUACCCUCUGGCAAGCAUCGCAUUCCUUUACAAUCCCAAAUCUCUAGAGUCCUAAGGGAUUGAAGACCUUCCCACAUUUUCUCUGGUAGGGACUCAAUCUCAUUACAAUUAUAGAUAUACAGAUGCGUCAAAGCUGGGUUAAAGGGUUCAUUUGGUAACUCCUUCAGAUUUGGGAAAUUAUCUACAAACAGAGAUUGAAGAGAAGUAAGGUUUUUGAACAUCCCCUCUGGGAAGGAUGUUAUUCCUUCGCCGUUAUAUAGGGUAAGCUCAGUAAGACCACGAAAGGUAGGGAUUGACCUCAGUAACUCAUUGUUACAUCCCGAAACAUUGAGGGAUUUAAGAGAUGGAAGACAUGGCAGUCCUAGCUUAGGGCAAUAGUAUAUUGUCAAACGAGAAAGACAAGGAAACACCUUUCCUCUUUCCACUUUCAAUAACCCCUCUAUGUUUGGUAACUCAUAUAAGUGGAGUACCUUCAGAGAUGGGAAAACCCUCACCUCCAUGCCAUCCUGAGAUUCAUCAUCAUCCAAGUAUUUCAGAUUAACCAUAGAAGAUAAUUCCAGUUUUUCUAGAGAUGGUAGUUUACCAAGUAACGGAAGCCGCACAAAUUUCUUGCAAUCCCCAAGUUCAAGAGAAACUAAAUUACUAAGAAUACUUACCCAACUUGGUAAUGAUAAUCCGUCGUAGUACUUUAUUUCCAAGCACUUGAGAUUUGAGUGAGGUUGAAGCACUUUGAGUAGCUGCUCAACACUAAUAGUUGGUGGCUUGGUAAAUCCAUCAUUGUUUUCCCAUGACAAGCAUAAUUUUUCGAGGUUUUUUUUCCCCAUCAAAUUGGCUUCUUGAGCUUCAGAUAAACUGCCAACAUCUUUUAAGCCUUCGAUACUCAGUUUUCCACCGAGGUUUAGAUCACGUAACUCUGUCAAGCUAUUCCCUUUCUCUAAACUAACAAUGUACACACUUAAUGUUCUUAGACAGGAUAAUUUUCCAAUGCUAGGAAACAUUCGAGACAAAGAUCCACAUCCUUCAAUGACUAUAUGUCUAAGAUUUUGUAAACAAGUCAAGUGUUUAGGAAGACAACUCAGAUUAUCACAAUCUUUUAUUUUCAAGAUUUCCAGUUUUUUUAAGUUGUAAAUUGAGUUAGGAAACUUUUUUAUAUCAAGAUAACGAAGUUCCAAAUACCUUAAAUGAAUUAAGCUCCCUAGUGAUAAUACCUGGGAUGUGCAUAAAACCCGAAGAGAGCGGUUUAAUGGGAAGUGAUCAUGGUUUUUUGGGGAAUAAUUCUUCAAGUCAAACAAUGUUCGCAAGGAUUCAACUUUUUUGAAGAUACCCUCAUCGAAUGAUAAAAAAGUAUCGGAGUUAAAACUUAUGUGGUGUGUGCUUUUUGUCAAACUACUCAUGUUUGCAUUCUCCAAAUACAUGCAUUCUUGUCCCAUUACUGAUUGAGCGAGAUCAUGGAUAAGAUCAUGCAUCUUGAAAGAAAUGUCUCCAGAAUAUUCACCCAUCUUACAGUCUUGAAAGAAUGAUUUUUGGUACAAUUCCUUCCAAACCAUGUUUCCAACAUCUUCAACCUCUAAAUUCCUCUUUGCAAUAAAUCCAUUAGCCAUCCAAAGUUGAAUCAAUUCUUCCUUCAAGAUUUCUCUAUCUUUGGGAAAUAUAGCACAAAAAGAGAAACAUUGCUUUAGGGUUGGUGUUAAAUAAAAGUAACUCAACCUCAAAGCAGGCAAAAUAGAUUUUUCUUGUGGUAAAUCCCAAAGCUCACUGUCUUUAAUAUCAAGCCAUUCCUUUUCUUCAUUCAUUGAGAACAUUAAACCUCCCAAUGCUUUUGCUGCAAGAGGUAAUCCAUUACAUUUUUUUACUAUCUCCUUUCCUAUUUCCACAAGCUUUGUAUGCUCUUCUCUGUAAUGUCUAAAUGCAUGUUGUUUGAACAACAACCAACAGUCACUAUCAGAGAGACCAGACAAAGAGUGAGCUUGGCAUGUUCCCAUGAUUGUUGCAACAUCCUUAUCACGAGUGGACACUAAAAUGGAACUACCUUUUGAUCCACAGGACAAAACAGAUUUCAAACGAUUCCAUCUAUCUUGUGUUAACCCAUAUUCCAAUUGUUCAUUUUGAUUCCACACAUCAUCCAAAAUCAGCAAAUAUAUUUUCCCUUGCAACAAUCCUUGCACCUUUCUUUCCAUUACAUCUAACUCAAAGUCAGGACACUUCUCUAAUGUGAUAGAUUCUAUAAUAGAACACAAAAUCCUCUUGACUGAGAAAGUCUCAGAAACACAAACCCAAAUUUUUUUAUCAAAAUUGUCACUCACCCUAACAUCGUUGUAGAUCAACUGAACAAGAGUUGUUUUUCCAAUACCACCUAAGCCAACAAUGGGAUAGACAGAAAUGAAGUCAGAGUCCUUCGCAUGGGUGAGAAGAAACUCGACAAUCUUUUCUUUAUCAUCGUCUCUUCCCAACGCUUUUGUUUCAAGAGGGGUGGAGCUGGUUUGGCGCCCUUCAGCUACUUGAUAUGGGCUUUCCCUAAGAGUUCCACCCGUCUGUAGAGAAAACUUGUUCUUACGUUCAGCAAUACGAUCCAACCUCCCUGUAAUCUCUUUCAACCUGUUACCGAUCUUAUGGCGAAACUUUAAAGAGGUGAAUUUUUUCAGUCGACUAGACUUGAUCGAGCAUUCAUCAAGGAUGUCAUCGAGCACAUAUACAACAUCUUUGAGGUCUUGUAGCCAUACCUUAAUAAAGUUGUCUGUGACUUGUCUCUUCUCAGCAUCUUCAAGAACGGCCCUAAUGUCAACUAAGGUGGUUGAUAGGUUUUCAGCCUUUGACUUGAUUCCAUAAAUGGUAGAAAAUUCAAUUUGAAGCAGAGACAUCAAAUUCUCGAACACAACUCCAAGAAAGGGAUCGGCCAUUCUUUGAGAAAGGAAAGAGUCGAAAAUAUAACAAGAUGAUAAAUUGGUUUAGAGUGAACGAGUGUUAAAGUAAACAGAAUGAAGAACUUUGAGAAUAAAAUGCAAUGGUAGUAGGAAGUCAGCAAGUAGUUGUUCAAUAAUUGUGAGCAAGAAUUGAUUGGGUGUUUGUAGGACACACAUUUUCAAUCACAAAUGAAAAGUAAUACUAUAUACUCCUUUAAAAAGAAAAAGUAAUAUACUUUUACAUCAAAGAUGUGGCCUACAGAAUAAUGAUCUUUGGGAAAAGUUCAUGAAUCCCGUAUGAAUCUAGUCCCUACACUUUAUUUAUUUAGUUCCACAUAACGAUAAUUUAUCGUGUUAAUUGGUGUCUUAACGAUCAUCUAUUGAAAAGAUAAAAUUUUAAAUUUUUAAUAUAUUAGAUGCAUAAUUUUUUUAAAAAAAUGUUUCUAUGGUUAGCUUUUAUAACUUGUGUUCCAAGGAAACAAGUUAUCAUUUUCCUAUUGAAAUUUCAUUCAAGUUAUGGUGUGACGUCAUUUACUAAUAUUUUAUCUUUAAUAUUUCAUGCCACUGGUAUUUAAAUUUCGUCUCUGGCUAAGGACGAUAACCAGUUGUUUAUGGUCUAGCACUUGUUUUAUUGUUUUAUGCAUCUUGAUUCUUGAACAAGUCUGAUCUAUUUUACCAAUUUUUCGAUCAAAUAUAAAUAUGCAAAAAAAUGAGAAUAACUAUAUAAUAUUCUAAUUAUAAAAAUUAGCAGAAAGACUGACACUCUCUUUUUAUUGCGCUAAUAUUUGAAAAUUAUGAUCAGUGUUUUUUAUGAAAUCUUGAUUUUGAUUAAAAGUAAAAAUAUAAAUUAUUUUUGCUUUUAAAUUAAAUUUUAACAAAUCAAAGAAAAGGUUACACUUCUCUAUGGUUGGAAACUGAUUCUCAAUUAAUUUUCCUAGCUCUCAAGUCUUCCGUGUCAGUGCCCUUGACCUAAGGAAUAGAUGGUUAAACUGUUUGGCUUUUGUUAGGAAUAUUAAUUUCAUUUUCUCCCAUGUUUAUAGGGAGGGGAAUGCACUUUUGUUUGGUUUAACACAGUCCCCGAUAACAUUAGGGAGGAGUACAUUAGGAAUAGGAUGGAAUUAUCUAGUUAUAGGUUUGUAAAUUUUUAAAAGGUUUUGGCCUAAUCCCCCUUUUCUUGUUUGUACUCUUUUUUUGGUUAUAUUGAAUCUUGAAUGAUUGCAUCAUUCUUUUGCUUAAAAAAAUAAAUAAUUUAUAACAAAUCAGACUAACGAUUAUCUAUUUCAAUGAUACCAAUAAUAUAACAAAAAAAUAAUAAUUUGAAUUCAUAUUCUUUUUAAUGAAACGAACAACGAUCUUUAUUAUAGAAAAAAUUAUUUAAGUGUAUAAUUGGGAUAAUGAAAAAAUAAGUAUAGAUAUACUCAUCUAGUUUAUUACACUUUUAUUUUUAUAUUUGAAUUUAUUCUUAUCUAUUUGUUAUAUGUGUUAUUUAUAUUGAAUGUUGAAUAUAAUUUUAAAAAGAAAAAAAUCAGCUCAAAAGAGACAAAACAUAUUAUUUUCUUUAUAUAUAGUAUAGAUGCAAAUAACUAUAAUAUUUUCAUUUUUUAUUGCUACAUGGACCUCUAACAUCACUCUUGUAUUGCAUCUACAACGUUCGUGCAUACACAUAAUUAAGAUAUGAAACUCUCAAGUUUCAAAUAAAAAAAUCAAUUAAACAUCUAUUUCAUGAGUUUUUAAUUCUAUCAAUCAUUUUUAAAUGCACCAAUAACUCACCAUUUAUCUGUCAAAAUUUUAGUUUCAAUCUAAUCAUUUAACUCAUUACAUUUCAACGUAUACAGAACUUUGUUUCCCAUAUAACAUGCGCUACCUCAUUAAUUUGAGGAGCAUUUGAUUGAGAAAAUCUAUUCUUUAAAUUAGACCACAUUCGUGUUGCGGUUUCAGCUUACAAAAUAUUUUGACGAAUCUCAAAAGAAAAAUAAUUAAGGAUCCAACUUACCAUCAAAUCAUUUCAUCGUUGCCAAGUAUGGAUGUCUUUUUUCUUCUUUGGAGUUGUGAGCUAUCGCCAUCAACAAAUUCAAGCUUGUUUUUGGCAUGAAGAGUGUCAUAAUAGUUUGGCAACAAGUGUGAUGGUAUCAUGAUAACUGAUUUGUUCAAUUCAAGAGCUUGAAUCUCUUUGGCGUCAAAUUCAAGCCAUUUAGCUAAUUUCAUGGCUUGAGAAUAAGACUUUGUUCUUGAUUUGCAAUGGUAUUAGUGAGAAAAACUCAAUGAGAAAUACUUAUAUUUUAUAAUGAAAAUUAAUUUUUCAAAGGAAAAAUUAACUAUAACAUAAUGCUCUAGAAUACAAUUCAUUAAAAAUGAUAUUCUAGGUAUUAAUCGAGUAUUUGGGCUUGUGGUCAAAGGCAUGAAUGCAAUGCUAUAAAGGUCGUUCAACACAAUUUUGGUGUUAAUCCCCUGGUUCUUAGGGGAAGAGACUUUAGUCAUCAAGAUUUCGAUCAACUGGUGAAUAAAGUUUGGUUAAGAAUUAUUACCAUAAGAGUCGAAAUCUUGAUGAUUAAAAAAAACAUGCAACUUUUCACAUGAGGUCAACGAGUGUUCAAAUAAAAUUGCUUCCAUUAGUCUUCAGCUGAAUGAGUCGAUGCGGAUGUAUUCUAUUCCGCUUUUUAUUUUAGACUCUUUAAAUUGGAAUAGAUUAGCAAUUUUAUUUUUUUUUAAAGCUAAAAUAAAAUUUAUUCAAAAUGCAUAGAAUUCCAACGAGCAUAAAGAAUGUUGGGCUAGAAGUCUCAAAAAAAAAAAGUCUUAAAGUAACAACAUACAAAAGAAAUGUGUGUCAUAUAUAUACAGAGCACUUAAACAAACACUUAUAUAUAAAAUAUAAAGUUCUACAAACAAACCAAACACACCUUCCACCGAGGGCCCCCUUGAAACCAAUAAACACCAAAACCAAAAUGUUAGUGCCAAACCAAAAUCGAAACGGCCGUGCAAUAGCGGAAACAAAUCUUAGUGCCAAACCGUUGAAAAAUCCCUCUAAAAUAACCAUCAAACCUACCAAAAACCCAUGUAACCGCACCUUGAUUCUCUUCCGCACUUGAGCACAAGUAAACACCCAAAAAAUCACCACCUGAAAAACAUGUAACACCCUACAAAAGCACAUUGAAAAGAUAGCUCAAUUCUUUAAACAAGUUACACGGUCUAACAUCCGUGUAUUUGAAAACCCCAUCAGCAACGAACUCAUAGAAGAAAACAACCACAUAAAUCAAAACUCACAACCAGACUAAACAGAAGUUGUCCAAGUGAUUUUUAAUUACUACAUCUUCGUUGUGGAUUCACAACACUAUCCGUACGGUAAUAAACAUGUCCUUGUCAAUUAAGGUACACCAACAACAACCUCCACCAAAACCAAUCCAUACAAACCCAUAACACAACAACUGUAAGAGAAAAAACUAAACAUCAAUGGAAACACCAUUAACACCAAUCUCAAAACGACAACAACCUCCAUACAACAAAAGAACCCAAAAUCCAUCCAUUCAAACCCAUAACACAACAACCGUAAGAGAGAAAAAUCAUAAAUUGAAACACCAACAACACCGUAACACAAACCCAAUAACACAGCAAGUGUAACGGAAAACCCUUAACAGAAACACAUACAACAACCGAACAAAACAAAAAAAAACCUUCACAAGACCCACACAGGAAACCCCUUCAAUCUCGAAAUCGAUCAUACUGAACACCUCAGUCGUCACAAAAACGCAAGACAUAUGCCACCGCCGAAAGACAACAACAACAAUGAAGGACGAAAAAACCAAGACUGGACAACCGAGAUCUUGGGUGAGAGUGAUGCGGAUGGCCAAGCCAAUCGUCCCACCACCCUACAUCUAUUGCUACGUCGUAAAAGAGAGGUUGGAUUGAGAGGCAUGAGGGUGGCGGUGAAUAUCGUAGAGAGAGGCCGGAGAAAUAUAUUUGACCUAAGAUUAGCAAUAUAUACUUAAUUCAAAUUUUUUUAAUUUUGAUAUUUUUUAGGGGUGUUAUCGUUUUGUUUUAGUUGUUGUUUGCUUUGUACUCUUUUUCCCUUGCUAGUCACUAUGGAAAUUCCUAACAAAGUUUUUAAUGAGGCACAUGUCUAGUUCACUUGAUUAUUUUGACUUGAGUUUUUUAUUUUGUGGUGAUCGGGUUUAAACUCCGGACCUUACAUAUAUUAUGCAUUGUCCUAUCAAUUGAGUUAAGGUCACAAAAACUUUGACUUGAGUUUUGUUAUGGCCCUCCCGAGUGUUUUAUGUCUUUCCUUUUAUUUUAAUAACAUAUCAAAAGUGUUUUUUUUUUUAAACCCAUUUCAAAAAGUGUUAUACUUUAAAAAACAAAUAAAGAUAAAUAAGCUCACGUAAAGCAAAGAGAAAUUUUUAUUACUGCAUUUCAAAUCUGUGAUAUGUAUUGUGAAUUUUUAUUUUUUUUGGAUACAAAAUGUAUUGUGAUUUUAACCGUUAAGUUAAUGAUAAAAAUUAGUUUUUUUUUUUAUAAUAAAAAAACUAAUUAGUCACCAUCUUACCACAAUAAACAAUUAAGACAAUGCACAACCGUUCAGAAAAAAAAAUCUUGACACUAGUAGCGAUAAUCUAUAAACGUUGUUCCAUUCGGUUGGAAUCUCGUGGUGGAAUAAACUCUUCAACCCCCAAUAUUCCUGGAAUGACGGUGUUAUUAUGGUUGCUUUUGCCACUUUAGGGAAAUAAUAAAUAACUUUUUUUAGAGGUAUAAUAAAUAUUUUUUUAGGAAGGUAUAAUAAAUAAUUUCGAUGUUUACUUUUUUUCUUCCGAAUAAAUGUAAAUAGUGGACUAAUCUGAUUUUUAUUUUUUUUAUUAAAAAAAUUCUUAAGCACUUCAUUCAUUAUAAUAAGUGAUAAAUUACCAUUUGUCAACUUCGUAUUCUUUUUUGAUAUGUCAUUUUUUUGCGUUAACCAUCCCGUCAUCAAUGGACAGAGGUUGUGAUUAAACUUUCUAUGAGUGAUUGCAUCGUUCACCUUAAAGAUGUUUUGUGUAAGACCGCCAAAUUUUUUUAUAAACAAAUCAAAAUGAAAUUUUAUAACCACAAACGUAGCAAUCUCAAAAAUACAAGGUGUACCUUAGAGACUAUUAAAUAAAACAAAGAGUAUCAAUGUCACAAGAAAACAACCAAAAAACAUUAGUCUAUGCCCAAACAAACUAAGGGGCUCGACCACCACAGCUGUGUACCGAAAACAAAAAUAGGUUUUUUAGCUUUCAACCAUCCUGAAGACCGUAUCUUAUAAAUUUUGUCUAACAAUCGGGGAAUUGGAGUAACAACAUUAUUAAACAGACGAUUAUUUCGUUCUUUCGACACAACCCAAACACACAAAAAGCAUAUAAGUUGUAAGACCGACGAUUUAUUUCUUUAUUUCUACAAGACUCUUUGUUGAACAUUUUCCAAAAAAUCCCUUUUUAAAUUAUUUUUGUGGGUGGUGUGCGCGCCAGAGAGAAUGAAGAGGUUUUUUUUUUUUUUUUUUUAAGGAAGAGCAUGAAGAGUUGGAUGUGUAAUAUGUGUAUUUAGAGAGCGCAAAAAUGUUAUUAUUGGAUCACUUUUCAAAAUAAAUUUUAAUCCCAAAAAUUUUAAAUUUUUUAAAUACUGUCCAACGAAUUUAAUAAUGAAAAAUUUUGUUACUUUAUUCUAACAUAAAAAUGUAAUAAAAAAAUGAUUUGAAUUUUCUAGUAUUCUAAUAUCCAAAAAAAAAAUCCAUAAACACAUUUAAAUACACUCUUAGAAAUUUUGAACGUAAUUAUGGAUUGGAUAAUUUAAUAUUUACUUUUUUUUAUAUUUGCUUGUAAUGAUAAUUUAAUAUUUAUUGAAUGUGAUGUUUUUUUUUUUUUUUUUGAGAGCUUAUUGAAUGUGAUGUUGAAGUGGUGGUAAAUUGCCUCUUUGGACCUAUCAAGAUUUAAGAUAGCAAAACUGAAAAACGUAUAUUUUCUUUUUUAAAAUUUGAGUCGUUUGGAAAAUACUAGAGCCACUUGACUUAGAAGAGAGAAAAAAAAUGUUCUAGCUCAUGGCUUGGUUGAGUAGAAAAAUAUAGGUGGCGACUAUUUUAAUGGAAACCAACAUAAAAUGAAAUCCCCUUAUGUCACAUUUAUUUUAUGGGAAAUGUUGGCACAAGUUAGUUAACCAAAAGUGAAAAUUAUUUAUUGUAAUUAAUGCAUUUGAAUUUAAUUUUUCACUUUUGAUUAAUUGAAUGCACAAAAUUCAAGAGAAUAUUUUUAUUUUUGGAUUGCUUAACAUGUGUCCACAAGUUAACAUGACCCUUAUUUUAUUUAUAAACUUUACUUUUUAUUUACUAGAGAUAGAAAUGGGCUGCCCAACUAUAGAUUUCCGUAGUCUUUUUUGUCUGUUUUUCUGUUUUGUUUUCUGCUUUGUUUUUAGAGUAUUGACCUAGUCCCCCCUCCUUUGUACAGUUUUCCUUCUUUUUUUUCUUUCUUUUACUACGUAUUGAGAGGCGGUACAAAAUGGGAGCUGCUGUUGGGUGCCAACCUAGUUGAAUGUUUCAGCUUCUCCCUGAUACGUAACCUCUCUUUGCCUAUAAAAAAAAUAUAUAUAAAUCAAUGAUGUUUAACUUUUGGAAAAAGGGAAAAUUUCUGUCUUAACUCCAACAUGCAAAUGCUUUUGGGAGGUAGUUGUCAAUGCUGAAAAAAUAGAGGAUCCUCCCCUCCUACGUUCCAAAAACAUCAAUUCAACUUAGUAACACUUUUAGAUUAUACCUAAAUAUUCAAAGACAAGAGUCCUUCAACUACAAACCAAAGAUUCAUUCUAAACAAACUUUCCCACAUGUCUAGAAUUAGGCAUUAGAUGACAUAUGACUUAAAAAUGUGUUUAUGAGUGGUAAAACUCCUCCUCAUUUUACUGAUUAAUUUGUAAAGAUUGAAUCAAAUCUAAUCCAAAUCUUAAGAAUUGUUUCGCCGUCUGUUAUGCGACCACUGGAGUCACACUGUAUAUGCCUUUCGUCUUGUGCUUGAGAGGAUAUGUGUUAGAAUUUCCAUAUAAGAUGAGAUUUAUUGACUAAAAAGUAUGUUUAUAAGUGGUGGGUUGUCCUUAUUUUGGAAUCCAAUAUUGUAGUUUGAGUCAGGUUUAACACAAUUUCUAAUAUCAUCUGAAGGAAGAUUGAAAACUCAAUUUAGUCUUUUGUAAUUUUCUCGUAAUUCAAUCUAAUCAUCGAUAAAAAAAAUAUUACUCAAAUUAGUUCAUAAUUUUUUUUUGACAAUAACAAAUUAGUCCAUAAUAUUUUUAUACGGAUGGUAAAUUGGUCUGACUCAUUAUUUUAUAGAGAUCAAUUUUUCUUUAGUAUAAAAAUGAGAAGACUACUUUGAGUUUAUUUUUUUGUCAAGAUUAAAUUGAGUACGAAAAAAUUAUAAUCAACCAGAUUUUUUCAUUACUAAAAAAACACACUAAAAUGACAUAGUCUUCAAGUAGACAUCGUUUUCUCCACAUAAAUGCAUCCCCACAUAGUACCAUAUGCUAUGAUUUAAUUAUGCAUAUUUGUGGUGUGACAUAUUUUGUCGUUUCAAACGUUGCCAUCCAAUCCCUCACCUCAUAAAUCAAUCAAUCUCAACCGUCUAUGCUCAAUUUCCAGAACAAACUAUUGCCACCAAACUUCAACUUCCAUUCCUAUAAAUUGUGACUUACCAUGCAAUGCAAAAAUCAGUGGUAACACAACUAGUACCAUUCUCUCAUAAAACAAAUGGACUCUAUGAUAGAAAUGCAAAACAAGUCCAUAGUUGAAAUUCUCUACAAAGCACUUUUGGGUCAAGGAACAAUGGAAAUGGUAGCCAAAUUGCUAGCAAGUGAUCUUGAGUAUUGGUUCCAUGGUCCACCAGAAUGUCAACACAUGAUGAAGGUGUUAACAGGAGAAACAAAUCACAAAAAAGGGUUCAAAUUUGAGCCAAGAAGUGUCACUUCAAUUGGUGAUUGUGUGAUAACUGAAGGUUGGGAAGGACAAGCUUAUUGGGUUCAUGUUUGGACAUUGAAAAAUGGGUUAAUUACACAAUUUAGAGAGUAUUUCAAUACAUGGCUUGUUGUGAGAGAUUUGAGGCCAUUAAGGUGGGAAGAUCAUAAGCAAGAUAACAUGACAUUGUGGAGAAGUCAACCUCGUGAUCUUUAUCGUAGGUCACUUCCUGGACUUGUCUUGGCUAUUUAGACACAACACAACUCAUUGCAUGUGCUGCUCAAUUUGGUUGUUAUGUAAUGUACUUUGUACAAUGUAUCAUGAAUUUGGAUUUGGUCUUAUGGAUAUUAAACAUCAUUUUCAACUUAUUUAGCUUGCUUUUAAAAGAAUAUAUAUUUGUAUUUUGGAUAUGGUAAAUUGUUCUAUAAAAUUAUCACCAAAUUAGAAGGGAAAAGAAUGAAUAGGAGGUUAAGGAGAAAGUUGAAAAUAGAUGAAAGGUUAAAGGUGCAUAUAAUAUGAAUAUAAGAGAAAUAAUGAUAGUGUACUAUAUUACUAUUAGUCCUUUAUUCCUCUUUCUUUUAAGUGCUUUUUUCCCCUUAUUGUUGAAUGAUCAAUAUCUAUUUUGGUUUAAAGCAAAGUGAAAGUAUCUCUCAAUCUUUUUUUCCUAUGAAAGGUCUCAAAGUGAAAUUAUCUAUUUUUAAAGUGCUUUUUUUUAAUUCCUCAUAAUUUUUUAAAAAUUCAUUUCGUUCGGAUACACUGUUCUGGUUUUUGGAUGGACAAAAAUCAUGGUUUUUUCCGGUUGCACCGCUCUAGAGGUGGAGGAAAACUAUGUCUUUAGGCUGUCCUGAACGAUGUAUCCUAACAUAAUUGGUUUUCAAUGGUGGAAGGAAGAUAAAAACAAGUUUCUUUGUUUUUAGAGGUGUAAAACAAUGGCUUUAAUUGCGUAGCUCUUGUCUUGGAACACAAAAUAAAAACUCGUAAGUUUGAACUUUUACCAAUCCAAGUGAUAAAAAAUGCAAUUUUUUCUCUUGUUAAGACUUGAAAGGUUUUAUUUUUUUUGUGGUGGUCAGAGUUUGAACCCUGGACCUUGCAUAUAUUAUGCAUUAUUAGUUAUCACUACCAACUGAGUUAAACUCACGAGAACACUUGAAAUGUUUUAUUAAUUCCAGAUGGAUAGUUUCGGACUAGAAAACGUUUUAAGAAUAAUAACUAUCGUAGUAGUCUUCAUCUCAUCCUUGCACGACUUGUGCUUGGUCUAGGGUUCUUAAUAUAUUUUGCAUUUUCAAAAAAAAAAAAUAUAGCUAUAUCGUAGUUAGUUAUCGGUAUGGUACUAUGGUUGCAUGCUAUUGUGAUUUGUGAGUAUAAAGAUAGAGAAAAGUAAAGAUCUUUUUUUUCAUCAAAAAAUAAAAAAGAUUUGGCAAGUGCUAAUAUUAAUGAAGUCAAUUGACUAAAAUUUGCAUUGAGAAUUGAAAUUGCAAUAUCAAUAAAAAUUUCCUGUUUAUCAUGUUUGAAAAUUGAAUGUCAUUAUCAAAUGCUUUUGAUGGUGAUUAGCAUCGAUUGCAUAACAUUUUUUUAUCAAUAACCAAGAAUGUUGAUGCUUUUUGUUCAUGUAAUCCGAUGGCAUUACUAGAAGAUUAGCACAUGGAUCAUUAACCAUCCUUAAAAUAAAAUGGUUAAAGAAUUCGGUCCAUUUGUUAUCGAUUUAUGUUAUUUUGUUAUCGGUUUAUGUUAUUUGAACGUUAAUAUACAAAAAUAGUGUAUAUAUUUAUCUUUAUCUUUAUCUCUCUUAUUUUUAAUCUCCUACGAUUUAUGUACAUUUUAAAACUAUACAUAAACUAAAAGUCAUCAUAUUUGACAUUAAAAUUUCAAUGUCAAUAGAUCAUUUCCCAUUUUUAUUGAAGGAAAAAAACUCAUUGCUUUACUAUAAGUUGAGCCAUAAUAAAAAAUAAGGUUACAAACAUAAAAAUAUUUUAUUAAAAGGAAUAGAUGGACCCCAAACAUUUUGAGGAUUUUUAUCAUAAAUGUGGGCACAAUCUAGCACUUGUUUGGAGUCAAUAAUAAUUCACUAGUAGCACUUGGUAUGUCUAACAAGCUUAACCACUUUAACGGAUCCCACAUCCCUACUACCUAAAAUUAAAUGGUUUGGACGGUGGACUAAUGAAUCUUGCCACCUACUUAGAAAUAAGUAAUGAGUUUUGCUAUCUACUUAACAAUUGAAGGAUAAUUUUGUAAGGAAAUAAACAUUGAUGACAAAUUUAAUAUACCCACAAUUUUUUUUAAUUAUGUGUUUUGGUUGAAAGUAGGGCUGGACAUGAGUCGAGUCGAGUCGAAUCUGUCUGAGCUCGACUCGAUAAGAAUUGGUUCGGCUCGAGUUCGAAACAAAGUUUUUUUCUAGCUCGAGUUCGGCUCGUUUAAAGUUCACGAACCACUCGGUUCGACUCGUUAGGUUCACCUCAUUUGCUCAAAUUGCAUAUUUCAAAACCUUUUUUUUGGAGAAAAAGAUUUCUUUGUCAAAAAUACAUAUCUUUGACCUAAAAAUACAAAACCUUUAAAGGAACAAAAAAUAUAAUAAUGCUAAACCUUUAGAAAGAUAGCAACACUUUAUAUAUACUACAUGUAGCAUAUAUAUACUAUCAGUAUUGGUUUUAUAUGUUGUAUUUGUAAUGCACCGCUUGUAUAUAUAUACUCGUCCUCUCUAAUCUUUUGCAAAACUCUCCGAUGUGGGACAAUUUUUAUGCACAACUUUGUUUUAAAGCCUUGUGAAAGCAUUAACUUUUUCCCCUCUUUCUAGUAUUACAAUUAUGGUUGAUUUUUAUUAAAUUAGCAAUUAGUAAUAUUUUAUAUGAAAAAAGUGCAUAAUUAUUAGAAGAAGAUUGUAAGAAAUCCUAUAUUAUAUAAAAAAUUGUGUAUGUAUAUAUAUCGAGCUGGUUCAUGAAUCAAACGAGUCGAACCAUACUAAGUUCAAGUUCAACUCAUUUAUUUAACGAACUUAAUUUUCAACUCAAGUUCGACUCAUUUGGUUCAUGAACCAAGUCCAAUGAACCAAUUAUCGAAUCGAGUAUCGAACUAUUUUCGAGUUGGUUCGAUUCAUUGUCAGUCCUAGUUGAAAGAGUCUUAUAUAUAUAUAUAUAUAUAGAUGAGGAUAGUAGAAAAAUGGCAAAGCCAUAUUUUUAGAAACCGUGAAAAAUAAUCCAUUUAUGGUGAGACUCUUAACUAUUGUAAGCAUAAUGACUUAAUAGGACUUGAUACUUGAUAGUACUCUGCUACAACACUUUAUUGAGACAAUAUAUAUGUUGUUACCUUUCCAAGAAAUCAAUUUUUUUACGAGAAAAAGAAAAAAAAAAUCACCGAGGACUUUUGCUUGAAAAUAGUGACAAAAUGCUACUUUACCUAUGAUAAUCACUGGAGUACUUAAAAUGACAGUGUUGUCAAUAUGUACAACCAAUUAAGUCCACUUUUGAUUGCAUUUGGGAAAAGGUAAACCAGUUUUUCAAGAUUUAAAGUAGAAAGAGAUUUGUUAAAAACUGCAAAUGAAACCAUCAAUCGAGAUCUAGAGUAUUCGUCUGAAAAAUAUGUCAAUUUCCACCUAUCUUCUGAGUCAUAGAUAUAGCAGUGCAUUAUACUCCUCCAACAUCUUCUCCUUCCACGUAAAUAAUGGACGCCACCAUUUCCAAGGAUCGUCCCCGAAAGUCCAUCCUAAAACAUAGUACUUCUCAACUACUAUUGCUAAUCGAUUUGCAACUAUAUUAUACGGUUUGCUAAGCCUAUCACACAAAGCUCGCCUCCCCUUCCUUCCAAGCAUCAGACCAAAAUAGUGUAUUUGUCCCAUCACCGACCACCAUUACCAAAUUAUCAUCAAACUACCUUCACACUUUCACACCAUCACCCCUACGAAUACCUCCCAUCUCCCUCCACCAAACUCAUCAUAAUCAUCCACCUUCUCUAAUACAACCAUGUUCCACCUUAUACGGCUAUACCUACUCUAACACCUUAAACCAUAAACCAUCUCACUCCACAUACAACCUCCAAUAUCAUUUUUCUAAUAAUGCCAAAUAAUUUUUUUUUUAAUCCUUUGAACCCCUAAACCUCUAUUCUCCUAUUUUAAACAAACUUUAUCCAAUUUAAUCCAUGAAAUUUUCAUAAUUUCCUGACCCCCACCCUCUCUCCCCUUCCUGACCCCUUGUUGACAAAUGACAACUUUCCAACCCAAUCGACGCUUUCUAAAUUUGAUCAAGCAACAUGUACCAAAACAGUAAUCGACGAAAGUCUCCCUCAAUUGGCAAACUUAAAUAACUUAAAGGUGUGUUUCAAGUUUUGCAAUUCAAUGCCAUGGCUGCCUCAUUUAAGCAAGAUUAUCAAACAUUCUCCUCUGCUAACAUACUUUUAUAAAAGUUCACCUUGAGCCUCAAAAUUACUUCAAACGUGAUCAACAUUGCUUUUAACGCCCUUGUUCCACGCAAAAUUAAUGUUUCAAUAGUAAAUUUUAAAUGUGAGAUAUUCAAUGUCCCAAGACCGCUAAUGUUAUAACUAGAAAACAAUCAUGUCUCUUCACACUACUAGAAAAUUCGGUUAUAGCGAAGGCAGAAAUCUGUCGCAAAAUAGGCUGAAAUCCAUUGCAAAAUAGGCUAAAAUCCGUCACAAAUGGUUUUCUGACGGAUUUUGCGAGGAACAAAAAUCCUUCGUAAUAGUGGGUGUCGAAAAAAAUUAGGAGCGGUUAUAGCGAAGGCAGAAAUCUAUCGCAAAAUAGGCUGAAAUCCUUUGCAAAAUAGGCUAAAAUUCGUCGUAAUAUUGGGCAUCAGAAAAAAAUUAGGAGGGAAAAUCGAAUCCGUCAGAACGGUUUAGAAAUGGUCGCAAGCAAAAAAAAGUAGUCAUAAACACCGCAUAUAUUGAUAUCUAAAAUCCAAAUUUCCGUCACAAAUUUUCAACGCAAUAAAUAUCCGUCACACAAUUUUUUAGGGAAAGAAACCGUUUCAAAUUUCUGAGAGAACACUCCCGUCGCUAAACUUCUGGAAAUAUGGUUAGCGUCUCUUUGAAUGCCGACGCUAAUUUGCAGUAAAAAAAAUUUGCGACUUUUACUUUUCCAUUGCAAAUGGAUUUUUUUUUUUUUUUUGUGUAAUAUUAUAGAAGAUGAACCACAUAUAUCAAAACUUUUAAGAAAAAAAAUACGUAAAAUUUACAUUAAUAUUUGAUGAAAAAACGUUUUUGGUUGCGUUCACAAGAAUAACACAACUUUAUCUUUUGCAUCAAAAUAUAUUAAAAUUAUCAAUAUAGUAAUUAUAACAUUGUACUUGAAACUAAAAGUUAUAAUCAAAUUCUCAAAUAACAUGAUAAAGUGGACAUGAAUGUGGAUCCUAACUCGAAGGAUGAGGUCCAUAUGGAGGUAGAUGUGAAUGGUCUUGUGAAAAAGACUCCAUGAAUUUCUGGAACUGCUCUCGGAGCGAACGUGACUUCUCCUAUGAUGAACGAAUCAACUCCUCAUGAGUCUUCAACCACUCCUUGAGUUACAUGUUUUCAGCUGACAUUUUAGACAUUUCAGUCCUCAUAUGCUCAUAUUCAUAUGGUGAGAUGCCUUCAAAUGAUCUGGAUGAAGUAGACUUGUAUUUUCUACCUCUGGUCCCAAACCAUAUAUGCGUCCCUUGUCGACUCCUCCAACUAUGUCUAAGAAGAUGAAGUUGUCUGACUGAUGAUCAUUAGACACAUCAUCCCCCCUCUGUUUGUUGUGAGUUCCUUUCAAAAUCCAUCUUUCAUAUUCAUCCUACAAAAUUAGAGUUCGUUUUAAUUCUUAGGUAUAAAAAUAUGAAAUUAAAUUAAUUACUACAAUUACCUUAAUUAAAUUCAUAUAUAAAACAACCAAUAAGAACUUAAACAAAUUAAAACUAGCUUUUAAGUAAUAACUAAGUUAGCAUGACUUCUUUCCAAGUAAAUAAACAUAAGAUUAUCAUGUUCAGAUGUCAGAAGCUGAUGAACAAUAGUAAGCAUGCAUAACAUCAGUGGCAGAGUCAGGAAUUUUAUAGAGCUUGGGCAAAAAAUUUAUCGCAAAACGUUACUUCCUUCCUGCGAAUAAUUUCACAUUUCUUACGGAUAUAUCUUUCCUGCGGAACCUAAAUCCUUGACAAAAUCUGCAGGAAAUGUGUUUCCUGCGGAAUUUACAUAAAAAUCCGCAGGUAAAUCCGUAGGAAAAGCUAAAAUUUCUAGUAAUGGUUGGAUUUGCUACAAAAAAAGUUGGAGCCGAGCCUGGAAACUAGCCCAGGCUAGCUGGGGGUGGCUCCGCCCCUGCAUAACAUUAAAACCUAUAGCACAACAGGAGGCAACAGACAACAAUAUACAAUCCUUUAGCAAUGUUAUUUUUUACCUUAAAACAAUUCUACCUCUAGAGGUCAAUCAUCUAUCUUUAAACUUGAUACAUGAUGGAAAGCUAUAUUGUCAUUUGAUGUUUGUAACAGACAAUACACCUGGUGGAACUAGAAUAUACCUUGAUUGUUACUCCAUGUUUUAUAUUAUCCACAUUUUAAUUUUUCUUACAUAAAGUAAAAAAAAAUAAAAAAUUAAUGAGUACAAUUUUUUUGUACUAAAUUGUCUUUAUAUAUUAACCAUUCGAUUAUUAAUUAUUAAUCAUAAGAUGAGUGUUAGGAACACUCUCUUUCCAACAUUCUUUUUAACACACUUAUCUAUCGAGUGAAAUCUAUAUAUAUCCCACCACAUUAUGCGGAACAUAUUUCCAAAGUUGAGGACUCAUAAAAAGUUUAAUAAUUUGGAAUUGAUACACAAUACUUAUUUGGAGGCAAGUUAGAAUUAAAGUUGGGAAAGCUAAAAGUUAUUGCUACAAAGAAAUGUUUACGUUUAACUCUUUAACCACCGUUUUUGCUUAUAUUUCAUUUCAGAUAGAGUAAUUUCUUAAUUUGAAAUCCUUAAAGUGUAUCCCGAGACACUUGUUAGCAACACCGAAAGUUUAAUGUUCCAUUGAAAAUGUAAAUAAUAGCGUGAAACUUUUUUUUUUUAAAUUAGUGGUGAUUUUUUUGUUUUGAAUUAUUUAAACAAAGCUAUAUACUCCCUCCAUUCCUUUUUAAGUGUCUCUUUCGGAGAAUUUUUUUGUUUCUAUUUAACUGUCACUUUCAAAAUUCAAUGCAACAUUAAAUGAUAUUUUAUCAAUAUUACCCUUAAUUAUUUAUUGUGGAGAGAGAAAUAUAUGAAAUAAGAUAUUAAAUGAAUAAGGUCAUUAUAGUAAAAGUAUAACUUAUUGCAUCAAAAGUAGUAAUAAUCAUUGAUUGUCUUGGUUUGUGUAAAAUGUCAAAAAUGUGACAAUUAAAAAGGAACGGAGGAGUAUGAAACAAGAGGAAGUGUUAUUCUUGUCUGAUAGCAUUUGAAAACAUACAUACUAGGAAGAAAACAAGAAAAGAAAGAAACGGGAGUUUCACAUUAUCAAGGGCAGCUACACAAUAACUUCCAGUAAUCAUAAACAUUGCAUGAAAACAAUUCAAACAUUCAUUUGAACAUAUUUACAUGGAUCUUUCAGAUGCUAAAUCAAGUAGUGUGCGGAAGAAUUGAUGAGGAUACAAUGGUGGUUGUUCUGCUAGUGCCUGAGAUAUGAAUAAUAGUCAGUUAGAACAUAAAUAUGGAAUACAAUGGUUGUUAUGAUGGAUUUGUGUCUAAAUAACUUGAUUAAAGAUGCUUUAAUUUUUUACAUAGAUCCUAAUUUGUAUCAAUUUUUAAAUGUAGUGAAGAAGAAUGUCAUUAGCUUUUGCAAUAAGGCAACUGGUUUUAAAUGUAGUGAAAAAGAAUGUCCUAAUUCAAAUUAUGUAUGAUGCAAAGCACAUAAUUUAUGUAACUGCUUUAGAGGAAGAAAAAUACACAUACGUUAUUAUGAACGAUUCGAACCGCAAAAAAAACAAAAAAAGAUGAUUAUGAAAGAAAAGUAAUAAUAUAUCAUAAGAAAAAAUUACCUGAUGAACUAGAACAGUGGAAGGUGUCAUUCCAGGUACAGUAUUUACCUCUAUUAUCAAAACCUACAAAUUUUGAAAGUUGUUAAUGAGUAAGAUGAUGAUAAGUCAUUUCUACCUCACCAUUUUCGGAUAUUAAAGAGAAUAGCAUAAGUGACAUGUGAAGCAAUAAAAUCUAUUUCAAAGAAAACUCAAAAAACAAUUAGGUUAAAGAGAAGAGGGAAAAAAACAUUUCUCAGAGCAAGGAAUUCAACAAACCUCUCCGCUGUCAACAUUGACAAAUGCAUCAAUACGUGAAAAUCCUUCUAAUUGUAGAGUGUUUGCAAUCAGUUCAAUAUGUUUUUUGCAUCUCUGCAAAGCUUUCUCGCUACAAAGAAAAUAACAAGAAGAAUAUCAUUAAAAAUCACUUCACGAAACCUCCCAAUAAUUAUUAAGACUAGGCCAACAAAACGUCAUUGAAUUGUGAAGAAACAACAAUUUGUCAAACAGUAUAAACACUUACAGUUACACGACAGAAAACGGCCUAAAUUCACCUACAUGCAUACCAAUUAGGAAAUCUGCUUUUUUUAAGAAAUUUCCAAUACACUGAAUGUUGAACUUGAGUCACACAGAGAAAUGUCAAAAGUAUUUCGACAAGAAAUGUAUUUCAACAACAUAUAGGCGAAUUAAUAAUUGUCUAGAUUAUCAAACUGAGAAUUGGACACAUGUGCUUAUAAUCUCAACCAAUCUAUAAAUGGAAUUAAGGAAACAUAAUUGAUACCAUGGUACACAGUAUCGACCCUGCCAGAAGUUGUACAGAACUUAAUUAUCAGCAAACUGUUGAAUCUAUUUUGCUAUUGGGAUGUAGAAUCUCAAUAACAUACCUCAUAAUUGACAAGGGAGGUGGAGUCAGAUUGAUCCCGGUCCCACCUGUGAAGAAAUGUUCAAAGGAUAGAGAUUAGCCACUGCGAACAACUGCAGUCAUGACAAAGGCUGUGUAUUUUUCCAAUUAUCCUUCUAAAAACUAGAUUAUAAUUCUGUGGAGACCAACCUUGGAACUUCUCCUCUAAUGACAAAAUAUCACCAGUUUCCUUGACAGUUACACUAGGACUUAGUGAGUGCAUUGAUCCACGUUUUCCUAUGACGCCAACUGUUAUUUCCACCCAUCUACUGUUUCCUUUCCACAUGAAGCCGUGACCAGUCUCAUUUUUAACUUUGGAUGACACAAUUAUUUCAUCUGUUUCUAUGAAAGGUUCAAAGAUCAAAAGUUCUGGAGGAGGGUUUGGCAUCUCAAUCAUUCCAUGUGCCUUGUACAUCAACCAAAAGCAAGAGAAAGAAUGUCAUUAAGUCAAAAUUACAAGUCAGGAACUGAAAUUCGUAACUCAAUAAUCGGUAAUCCUAUGUAAUCGAUCAAUGAAAACUAUAAAACAACAUAUUCUUUAACAAAUGACAUAACUGUUAAAGAAAAACAAAAAACAAACGACAUAAGAAUGACUACAUGAAGUUAUUAAUGUUCCUAUACCUUUGAUAAGCUAUUCGGAGGAAUCCUUAGUAGACUGUCCUCCAGAGCUUUGAUAUAUAUCGCAAGGUCAUUGGAACAACUGCAUGAGAAUGAGCAAGUAACGUGAUUGUUCCAAAUCAGGGGAUAUUGUUCCUCUAAUUAAGGAUGUUAUUGGUCCAUUAUAGUUAUAGCUGAUUCUAUUUUGUGUCUAUAAUUAGGAUUUGAUUGAUCCAUUGAUAAUAAGAACCAUGUGUAGUCAAACAACAAGGCCAUUCACAUAUCUUACACUAAUAAACAUCAAUCCUUUAAAAGCACACUAUAAUGCAAUAUUUCAUAAUUUUUAAAUCAUUGAUAACAAAAAAAGAAGGAACGCUAACACAAUUAAAAUCUACCGUAAUCUUGCAACCCCGGUUGAGCAUCCAUCUCUUGCUGGCUUAACACAUAAUGUUUCGCACUGUAGCUUCUGGGUGAGGUCAUGCCAUAUAUCAUUUAUGGGCUUAUUAGACAGAUCAUCUUUUCGCCAGACUUCUUUAUUUAUGGUAAGAAUUCCCAAAUUUGCAAGCUUUCAAUAAGAAGAUAUUAGAAUGCACGGUCAGAGCAAUGUCAAAUUGAAAAAAAAAAUAAUUGACAAGAAGUUUUAAUUUCAAAUUGAGAAAAUUAAUGGAUGAGGAGUGUUUAUCUUUCAGCGAAAAAUUAUUUGAUUAAGGGAAACGUACAUGAUUUACAGCAACAGAAGUCGCAACUUUGUCCAUACAAAUCUUUGACGCCAAUGCACCAGGACCUUGAACAGAAGAUAAAAGUGGGAGAAUACACAAUUACAAUUAAAAAACUAAAAAAAGUGAACCUGAGUAGUGGAUACCAUUGUACCUAAUGCUCUCAUGUAGCAAGGGUACAAUAUAAACAAACCUGUGUAGGGAACUCCUUCAGCAUCCAACAAAGAUUGAAGUCUGCCAUCUUCUCCAAUGCCUCCAUGUACUGUACAUAACAAAGAAUGAACAGUGUACAAAAAUACACAAUCAAUUUCAUAAACCUGAAUUCUUGAAAGUUACUCUGAAAAUAUAAAUAAUUAGAAAACUGUUGAAAGAAUGUAUCUUAUUCUGGCCAAUUAUCAUUAUCUAAACAAAUAAUGAGACCCUUUUAAACAACUUUUAAUUAGAAUGUCCAUUUUACUAUCAUUCACUUUAUCAUACAGUCAUACCUAACAACUGUUUCCCUUAUAAUUAUUCUGCUUCUACUUCAAAAACAAAAAAUCUAUUUAUAAAGCAAUGUAUUAUCAUCUUGAAACAUUACAUCAAAUUUGACUUGUCAAGGUGAAACAUGCUCUACUUAUACAGUGACUUCUAAAAAAUGCAUCUUCAAUAAUGUAUAGUAAAUAGUAAUAUGGCAACCUUUUACCAUGCAUCAACAAAGAAGUUGAAGUUAAAAUAUUAAUCACUAAAAAACACUCUGCUUUUAAUACCUGCAAUAAAAACUGUUGCCUUGACUUCCUUGGCUAGCUUGAUCCACUCCCUUAAAGAAAAUUUCUUAGGAAGUUCAUUAGCAAUAUCAAAUCCUGUAAACCAAUUGUGGUCCUUCAAACCCUCCAUCAGAUCAUUCAUUACUUGCUUCCGCAGAUCAGAUGUUAGUGCAGCCCGAUUUGGCUCAAUUGCUUCUACGCAUGCAUCAAGUACUUCCUCAGUAGUAUGUCGUAGCACAAGAGAAUAUCUGUACAAAAAUUAAUGUUUAAUCAUCUCAUUCUUUCUACCUACAUUCUGAUAGGAUCACACGAAUGAAUCACAAUGAACUAUUAUUAUUGAUCAUGGAUUCAUAGCCUAUGUCAGGAAGCUACAUUAAAUAGUUUUUUAUUCUAAUACAGAAUGUACACAUAAUUGGAUACAUUUCUGGAUUUUGAAUGCUAAUUGUAUAUCCUAUUGAGCCAAAUGAAAAUUUUACUUUAUGGAGUUUAGAAGAUUUAAGACAAACAAUGCAUUGAAAUAAAAAUUAAAAGGGAAAACCUGAUGUAUGCCAUUAGUUCAUGGUAGAAAAUGGCAGGCAGAAUACAGCGUUCUGGUCAAGAACCAACACUCAAAAAAAUCAUUAAGUUUAUAAGCCCAUUUACCGCAUGUUGAAAUUUAAUUUAAUUAUUAAGAAUGGGGUGAAAAAUGACAGUGACAAACUUCUUAAAAGCUUAAGCUGUCAGGUAGAAUGGUUUUAUAUCUUCUUAUCAACUUCAAAAUAGAGAAGUUGUUCCAGUAAGUAUAUUAAGAAAUCAAGGACAAAUCCCGAUGUAGAUAAAAAGAUCAAUACUUACGGUAAUGACCAAACUGUUCUAUUCCAUACAUCAUCAGCCUUUAUUCCGAUAUCGACACUAGAUGCAUAAUCACUUGUUGAGGAAAGCAAACAUGGAGUUACCUCAAGCUGUAAGAAUACAUGAUUUUAGACUCUAAUACAUGCAAAUUUUAUUGAGAUUUUUUUUAUUAACGGCUAAAAUAUAAAUCAAAAUAGGCUUAAAUACCACUUUGGCCCCUUACUUAUUUUAAAAGUUUAGUUUUCUGAACUUUAAAAUCGGUCAAUUUGGUCCCUUAACUUAUUUAGAAAGUUCAGUUUGGACCCUUAACUUUAAAACCGGUCAAUUUGGUCCUCUAAUAUAUGUAAAUUAAUGCAAAAUGACCAAGUUGCAUUAACAUGCAUAAGUGAAGGGAUCAAAUUGGUCAGUUUUAAAGUUAAGGGACUAAACUAAACUUUUAAAAUAAGUUAAAGGAUCAAAUUGAUCGGUUUUAAAGUUAAGAGAGUAAGUUGAAAUUUUAAAAUAAGUUAAGGGACCAAAGUGGUAUUUAAGCCAACCAAAAUAUCAUACUUAUGAAAAUAUUUCCAUUCUAAAAUAACCCUCUGCUCUACUUACACCACAAAAAUAAGAGAUAUUGGGUAAGUUUCUGAUAUUUGGUUACAACACAUCAUAUGACGAUUCUAAAGGAAAGAAAUCAUGAAACUGCUAAAACAAAUAAGUGUAAUAUUUUUGUCAGAUUUUUACUUCCACAUCUAUUUUCUUGAAACUUUGUAAAAUAAGAAAAUUGAAGUGGGAGGACAUAACUAAAGUUGUAAAAAUUUGAAGGUUUUCUUGAUUGUGGAUACUUACAUCAUUGAAGCCUAGCAAAUUGAGCCAAACAUUUGUACCACUCAUGAGAGAUACUUGCCGUUCUGAUGUGUCACCUCCAAAAAUGACAAAAACUUUUUGAGCUCCUUCACGACGGGGAAAUGACUUAUUAAGCUCUGAAGAUUUUGAUCUGCUUGGAAUCUGACUUGAUAUGCCACUGACUGAAGCAAGAUUUGGAAACCGCAAGCAAGCAUGGUGAACAAUGCUCCUAAGGAUGUUCGUAUGAGAAAAACCAACCUGAAUAGCAUAGAGAGCAUUUUCAGAAAGUGAAAAAGAUGAGCUAUGCAUACAUCAAUACGCAAAACAUAUAUGUUGUCAAUUACAAGUUAUGUGAGGUAGACACAUCCAGAAAUACCUUAGAAGCUUGCUGAAACAGAAAACUUGUUUGUUCCAUACCACUGAUCUGAAAGAUGUAAUGAAUAUAUUCAGCAAUAGUGAACAACCACCAUUAGUAGUAAAACCGCUAUCUGUAUUCCUCUCAAGAGCGAAAAUCAUCUCACCAUGUUAAUGUCAGUGAAUAUUAUGGUACCAGAUUCAGACCUUCCAAACUCACUUUCUGAAGAUGAUAGCUUACAACCUGAAUCAGGCAAAAACCAUCCAUCAAUUCGUGCAAAAUCUUGGAGGUGAAGCUGUUGAAAUAAUAUAGAUGCUCCUUUGCGAAUAUUCUCAAUUACAUCCAAAGGAAAACGAGGUGGAGUGUGAUAAGCAACCUGCGGAGAAGAUAUCCUUCACCAGGUUAGAAACAAACUUGGCAGGAUUGUAUGAAACCAAGUACAAAUUAUAGUGAGAUUGAAAGAAACAAAAGUCACUUCCUGGAAAACAUGUGCACUACAUCUUGUGUGCAUAAAUAAUACAUUUAUACUAAUACUGACCUGUUGGGUUGGAAGGUAUUUCCUGCGGUAAUUAAAUAUUGCAUCAUUCUCUUUCAAGUCAUUUUCGCCGAGGAAUUGAAGCUCCACCUGUUCAUCUAAUUACAGUGUUAUUAUUCUGUACGAAAUAUUCAUUGAGAAAUAAACAAUUACAAUUUUCGGUAUGAAUUGUUGAGUAAUUUUUUGCUGACUAUGGAAGCGGAAUUUCUAUUCAGUUAUAAUUACCACUGAUCCGAAUUAUUAACACUGGACUUUAUUCUACAAAUCAUGGCCACUUUAAAGCCUUGAGCCACAGCUCAAAGACAUCACAGUGGCUCAAGGUAUCCCUCACCUAACAAGUCAGUUUGAUAGGAUUGAGUUAAGCCAGCCCAAAUUAUAAGAAAUGGCCGUUCCUUUCAUUUUUGGAGGAAAUGGUUAAAUUUGCAUUCCUUGAUAGAUAAACAAUAUCAUUCAAUUGUUUUUCAAAUAAACCCUAACUCACUCCAUUGAAACGAACCGGAAUGAUGCUUUGAACUGUCUCCAUUUAAUACCCUGAGUCCCCUCUAAAGUGAUAUAAAAAAAUUAAAAUUGCUGUGAAUAAUUAAGAAAUCUCAUUGAAAAAAAGAUGAAACAUACCUCAGUAGGAAGUAGUGCAACAGGAAAACUAUCUGAACUAGAUCCUACGUCAAGGACAAUGGCUGUAAACUCACUCCCUCCUUCAAGAAAUAAUUCUAUUAACACUUUAUCAUCAAUUCCCUAUAACAUUCAAAAGCAAUGAAAAAUCCAAAAGUUAAUAUAUAUUAUGGGAGAGAUGUGAUUCAAGUAAACAUGUACUCCUAACUUUUUUUUUAUAUCAUUCUAUAUGAUUUAUAUGUAUCUUCAUCAACAUAAUCAUAAAAGUUUCUGCUCAUAUUCAAGUGCCAAAUUGACUGAAAAUACCUCAGACAUAAUUUCACUGGCUUUCACAAGAGAAUCAUUCACACCAUAUGCAACCGUAACACCGAUGCUUGAGCCUCCUCUUGUUGGUUUUACCUGAGAAGUCAGAUUUUAAUUCGUCAAUAAGCAUCACAAAUUGUUUCAAAAUGGGUUAAGAAUGAAUAACUAAUUACUGAAACAAAUCAAGUUUCUUACCACAACUUUCCCCGUGUCAGGGUCGAGCUGGUGUUUCCUAAACCACUCAGAUAGUUCUGAUUUGUUUGUUUCAUACCCCUAUUUGACAUCGUAAUGUGGAUGAAUUAUGUUUAAACUUUAAAGACAUAUAAUACUUUCACAAACAUGUAAGUAUGGAUGUACUCUAACACAAAUAAAUAUAGAUAAACAUAGUUGCAGGCUUGCAGCAUCCAAUUAUCGGAUAUCUAAAAACAUUAGAAGAUACAUGCUGAUGUAAUAUAUAAUUAAUUAGUCGUCGCUACAAGGAGAAACAUUGACCUUGUCAAAACACAAUUUUCAAUACCUGAACUAAGAAACUGGGCACUGUUACGAAUCCAUGCUUCCGUAGCUCCGACGAUGCUUUAUACUGGAAUAAUUUUAAGAUAAUUAAUGCAAGAGGUAUGGUUAAACUAGGAAGCAACAAAAGUUUAAUAAAGAUAAAGAUGAUGUAAAAUAAAUUGAAGAUGUCUCUGUUUUAGUGUUUCAUAUACUGUUUCCAAUUACUUUCUCAUAUAGCACAAUCAGCAUCACAAUAAUUACAAGCCCCUUUCGAGUAAAUAAUAAAUGAAGAAGCUUUUAAUCCUAUUUCUGGACUAAACUACAAAAUUCAAAUCAUGUAUUUUCUAGUAAAUGAUUAUUAUUAAAUGUAUAGAACCUAAUCUACCUAUCAUUAUGAUGGCUAUUAAGAUGUAAACCAAUUUAGAGUUUAGAAAUCAAUAACUGGCUACAUUCUAAUGUUAAUAAAGAGAACAAAAUCAUGUAGAAAUAAACGACAAGAAAAUACAUGUGUCCUUUACCUUGUCAAAUGCUUGGCAGCACUCACUUGAUCCUGUACCAACAAAUGGAACAUUAUACUUUUCCAGCAAUUCCUAAAAAUAUAUAGCACAUAGAAAUAUCGUUUAUACAUACACCAGAAGAUCCCCACACACACACACACACACAAACACACACAGAUAUUGCACCUGAAUGCCACCAUCUUCACCAAAUCGACCAUGUAUGACUGGAAAUACUAUGUCCACAGCUGCAGAUAGAUGCUCUGCCAAAUCAGCCAAAGUCGAGAAACUUUGGGCAAGGCUGCAAAUUUAACAAAUGGCCAUCUUUACUUUCAUAAUACAUAUGAGUAUUUAUUCCUUACUAUAUUUUUAUGAUAUUUAUUCAGUAUUUUUAAGGGAAUAUUACAAGAAAGGAAUUAUUUGGAAAACCAUUUUCAUUUGCGGAGCAGUUAACCACAUCAGGGUUUGAUUGAAUGAUGAGUGAUUAUUCAUUAAGAACUCUUUGAAAAUCACUAACCAGUUAUCUAGUUAAUUACUCAUAAAGUGGAAAUACUUUUACCAUACUUCUUUAUUGUGAUUUUCCAUGGAAUGAAAGUGUUUACUAACCUUUCAAGUUUAAAAUCAAAAUCUGCAGGAGUGUUGGAAUAUACCUACAAAAAAGAUAUGGAAAUAAGAAAAACAGGUUGGAUUCAAGAAACAACUUUUCCUUCUUCUUUUUUUCUUUUAUUAUUUUCCCUUUUCACUUUUAACAUAACAGUAGAGCCAUCGCUGAGAGUUUUAAAUGAAGAAAGUGAUUAAUUAAGCAGUAAAACAUUGAAACAAAACCUUGACCCAAAAAAUGAAAACAGAAAGUUCCAGAAAAUAAAAAGUUGAUGAGUUGAACUAUAGGCUAGAAAGAAAGAAAAAAUUGCGCCAUUCAUAAGAGAAUGAGACAUAACCAAGCCAAAAGUGAUGUUCUAUUUCACUGAUUUGCAUCAACUGAGACUAAUCAAGAAUUAUAUAAAGUAAAACUUUAAUCAGUUAGAAAAGGGUAUUUCAAGUAAUGUUUUUAGGAACAAACAAGCAUUAUUUAUAAAGCACGGAAACGGAUACCGACACCAGACACGACACGGACACUGACACGUCGACACCGCUAAUAAUUUGACAAAAUCACAUAAUUCAGUCUAAUUAAAUGUGUCGGUGUCGGACACGACGCAUGUCCGAUACGGGAACACGCCUAAUCCGAGGGGUGUCUGUGUUUCGUAGGCAAUGAGGAACCUAAUUCAACUAAUAUUUUAUCAUAAUAUAGUGUUGAAACAAUGUAUUGUUGGUAUAUAUGCGACUUGACUGACUUGUCCACCCUUGUAUUAUUGGUUCAAGUCUUUUAAUAUCUAAGGGAUCAUUUAUACAUGAAUUUAGCAUUAUUACAAAUAUAGUUCAAUAGGAGCUCAUGAAGCACUAUUUUGGAAACAUGUAUUACACUAACCUGAGCAGAAGAAAUUGCAUGUGCAUUCAGAUUGCAAUCAAUAUAAUAGCAACUCACAUGUAAAUCAUCCCCCUGCCAAGUAAACAAAACAACAAAAACAGAGAAUUAAUAAAUAAAUUAGUAUUGGAUAUUUUUUGUUAAAAGUUUCAAAAGUAUCAUUUCCUAAGAAUAAUUAAAAAAUAAAUAAACUAGAAAAACAAUAUUUAUCAAAAAUGUUUAACUGCGAUAAGUUUUGAAUUGGUCAAAUGUGGAUAAGAUUUUUUAUUAAUCUAAUCUGAUGCAUUUAUUCAAUAAUUCAACCUUAUAUCUACUUUUAGUUCAAUGUUUAAACAAUCUUGCAACUAUUAUAAUUUUUUCAAAUAAUAGCUUCUUCAUAUUAACUUUUGAGGAACUUGUAAACUCUAUCAUUUACCAUGUUAAAAAGAAAAAAAUAAUAGUUAUCAUAAUUCAUAAGAUUCUUCUCUGAUUUUAAUUACCAUUUACUCUGAUGAAAUUACGUAGUUAUAUAAUUACAUGGUUAAUGAGCUUCAUCUAAUAUCGAAUCGUUCAGAUAGUACUAGAAUCCAAUCCUUGAGUCCUUACCUAGACUUUUAUUUUUUUUUUGUCAGAUAGCCUAGUGGCUAGAAUUCACCUUUUUCAAGGUGAAUAAGUGGGGUGUCUAGGGUUUGAACCCCAACCCCAGCCAACUGAGCUAUGCUCACGGGGACGUCCUUACCGAGACUUUAUUUAUCACCCAGUAAGGUUUAGGAUUAGUCGGGAGUUUAAACCAAAAAAAAAAAACAAUUAGAUAAAAUAUAUUUUAUAAAUUGACAUGAUAAAGUGACAUCAUAUAUUUUUCUUAUUGUUUUUUCUAAAUAUAUAUAUCGGCUAAAUUGGAUAUUUCAUCCCUUAACAAAUUUAUGUUUUUCAAUAUGGUCUCAUAUCUCUGCUAAAUCGUUUAUUUUGGUCCUUGUUUCCACUUUCGUCUCAUAAUAGUCAUUUAUCAUAGUGUCUGGGUCUGUUUGAUGAUAGUAUAUGCAAUAACUUGCUUGAGAAAUGAAUUCCAGUUAAUAGACUAAUUGACAAAAUAAAUAUCAAAGUUGGCGUGAGCCGAGCUCAGCUUAACAACUUAGUUGUUAAAGACAUUGUGAUAUACACGGUUUGGUUUCGAAUCACCUAUUCUUUUGCUCAUUUAUCGUGAAUUUUUAGUUAAUAAUUUAAAAUUAAAAAUAAAAAAAAUAAAAAAAAACUAAUUCAUGAUCAUGACAAAGAAAUUGCAUGUACCUGCAAGUGAUCAAGAACUGAUCGAGCAGAAUUAAGCGAAAUCCCACGUUCAGCAGAAGGGCCGCCACAAAUCAAACCAACUCUCAGUGCUCUUCCUUCCUCUUUUCCCUUCUCAGCCACUCCACUGCUAACAACCACCACCUCGCUAAUCGUGGCACGUGCAACGGCACUGGAGCGAGUGGCACGGCACGUGAUCAGCUUGUGGUUCAAUUCCAAGUGCUUCGGGAAGAUUAGUUGCAGGUUAGUGGAACUUCUGAGUUGUACGGUGUGGUUGUUGCGGAGGAGGGUGGAGGAGAAUCUAGAGAUGGAUGAUGACGUGGCCAUGAUUGAAAUAAAGGUUGAUGAUGAAUGAGUUAAAGUGUCUCUGAUCAGUUCAGACUUCAGUGUUAGUCUGAGUGAGUGAGCUUGGUCAUAAUGGUUAAGAUUUUCUAUAUUUAUCUACUUCGUUUCAUUUUUCUUUUUAUUUAUUAUAAAAUUCAUUUCGUUUUGGCAAAUACAGUAAGACAGAUAAAAAAAUUAAAAGAGAGACAGAUAAAAAAAAAUUAAAACAUUAGAAAAUCAACUUAUAGGACGGCACAACAAGACCAUAUAUUUUGUAUUUAUUCAAAAAAAAAAAAUAGACUACAUAUUUUGUAUGUUCCUCAGACAAUUAAAAAGCUGUUUUGGCAAAUACAGUAAGUUCACAUGACUAAAAUAAAUUAGGACUUCUUUUUUUUUUUUUUUGAGGAAUAAAAUAAAUUAGGAUUAUUAAACCUAAUUAAGAUUUUUCUUAUAAACAGCGACAACUCCAGCAGUGAUGAAUCAUCACAAACAUUUUAUAAUUCUUUUGACAAUACCAAACAUGAUGGUACAUUUGUUUUAGAAGAACAUGAUGAUAUAUAUUUGUACAUUAUAUAUUUGUUUUAGACCAUCUUUUAACACGCUAUUAGUUAACUUAUUCAUAACAAAUUGGUGGUGGUUACAAAUUAAUGUUUGAACACAUCAUUUUGUCUGAUUACGAAUUUUUCCUAAUAAGAGGAUACUUUAUUUGGAGUAGCUAUUGUUACUUUCUGUUGUCUUCAUGCAACAAAAAAAAUAGAGCAUUUAACUUAUAUAAUAUGAUUGACCUGUGUAUUGCAUGUAAUGGAGGGUCAUCUUCUUUUUGUCUUUUACAAAUAAGACACUUGUAUCGUACAUGAAUGAGAACGACACCAUUUAGUACAAAAAAAAACAGAGAGAUGAGUGAGAAAUUGAAGUAUUUAUUAACUAUCUUUGAAGACUAGUUAAUUGAGAGAAGAAAUAAAUUUAUUAUGUGACCAUAUUGAUCACAAAUGGACUCCAUAUUGAAAAAUGUUUUAUCUAACAGAACAGAAAUCCAGUGAACAUUACAUGCUUAAUGAAUCUUCUAAAAAAAAUUACAUGCUUAAUAAAAUUGAUUACAUAUUUUAUCAUAUGUCAACUAUAUAAAGAAAAGGAGAGAUUUGUCACAAUUGUUUGACUUACUCUCGUUUUUAUCACUAUGAAUCGAACUUUGGUAUCUCGUAUGCAUUGAGCAUCAACCACUUGCGCUUGACUUGGUGGUAUAAUUGGAACUACUACCUUCGUCCUUGAUUAUAAGACCCUUUUGAGAAUUUUUUUUUGUCCCUUUUUAUAAGACUCAUUUGUUAUUUUCAACUACAUUAAUUAUUUUUUUACAUACAUGCCCCUAUUUAUUAUACAUCUUUUUCUUCAAUCAGCAAUAAAAAACAUGUUGAAAACAUAAACCAACUCUCUCUCUCUCUCUUCAAGGAUAUAAUUGUAAAAACAAUAGUAAUUACAAACAUAUUUAAUACAAAUAUCCACUAUCUUAAUUCCCAUUAUUUUUUCAAAAGGGUCUUAUAAUUAGGGAUGGAGGUAGUACUAUUUAUUAAUAAUCAACUAUAGUUAAUUGAUAGGUUAACUAGAGGAGGAAGCUUAAUUUAGAGUUAGUUUGAAUAGUUACUCCAACUAAUUUUUAUAUAUAGAAACAACCAAUGUACUCUUUAAUUAUCUUUUAUCAAUCCAUAUUCAUUACUAUAUGAAUCUCUAUGAGUAUCUUUCGUAUGAGUGAAACUAUGCUUAUUCUCUUGCUUUUCUUGCCGAUCAUUAUAACUUUCUUCCCCGUGAUUCCAUGAUUCAUAAUACUGUUGGAAAAUCAACAUCCUAUAUGAAUGCAAGAUAGGAAUAUCUGCAGUAAAUUCACAAUAAAUCUAAACUUUCCCUUAGACCUUGUUUUAACAGAAAUUUUUGUAGCAACAAGAUGCCUUUUAUUAUGUAAGUUUUGGUAAAUAAUACAAAAAUUCUAUGAACCAUACAACAGAUUGAUAAAUUGUUAAUCGUCCAAGUUAAAACCAGAUUCAAUGCAUUGCAAUAUGUAUUUUUGAAUGAUAUCAAUAAACCAAAUUCGAUUAUUUGUGCCAAUCAUUACUGACCUCUUUAAAUUAACUAAUUAAUCCUUUUUUUGUUCUUCAAACUUGAUUAUUUCAACAUAUAUAUGGAUUUUACACUAUUUUAUUAUGUAGGUAACAAAUUCUUUAGAAAUUCAGCAAAAAAUAAUCUGUAGAAAAAUGAAACACUGAAUACUUUUAUACAUAUGAAUUCAUGAAGUCAUGAUGAAUUUGUGAAUACCAAAAAUAAAAUAAAAUACAACUCAGAAAGAUUUACCCAUCUAUUACUAUAUGGUGGGUAUGACUCAUAGCUUGUUCGUAAGUCAUAAGGUUGCUUGAGAUCGUAGAAUUUAAACACAAGUUGUAUUGUGUAAGCCCUAUGUUUGAAUACAAGAAUGAUACAACAGCUGCUCUACAGUCAAAGACGUCGACACAAUUGGCCGAACUCCGUGAUCAAAUAUCGUGUGUUCUCUAUUUACAUUUUGGGCCAUGCCAACACUAUAUGAUACUAGUACAAUACAACAUCGAUUCGUAUAUCCUUACCACCGACAUUUACAAAGUUGGAAGAGCUUCAUUGGCCGAGAAUUCAAUAAUGAUUUGUUCAUGUCAAAUCAUCCUCUUCCAUCACUUUUGCUUCCAAAGCAUCCUUAACUCUAGAUAAAAGGGUUGACUUCCAAGACUCCUGUACAAAAACAGUCACAUGCAACCUUAAAAACAUGUAGAAUUUGAUAGGACAUAAGAGAAUAACAAUACAAUAAGUCUCUUGGUAAAACUGAAAACAUGUUUUGGCUACCUCUUGAAGACUGCAAAGUGACCAUUCAAUUAAAAAUAGAAGGAUGAUAGCAGUUUUGAG
rnacentral:lncRNA from 1 species